rnacentral:rRNA from 1 species
AUUGAACGCUGGCGGCAGGCCUAACACAUGCAAGUCGAGCGAGCGGCGGACGGGUGAGGAAUGUCUGGGAAACUGCAUGAUGGAGGGGGAUAACUACUGGAAACGGUAGCUAAUACCGCAUACCAUCAGAUGUGCCCAGAUGGGAUUAGCUAGUAGGUCGGGUAACGGCUCACCUAGGAGACGAUCCCUAGCUGGUCUGAGAGGAUGACCAGCCACAGUGGAACUGAGACACGGACCAGACGCCUACGGGAGGCAGCAGUGGGGAAUAUUGCACUAUGGGCGCAAGCCUGAUGCAGCCAUGCCGCGUGUGUUAAGAAGGCCUUCGGGUUGAAAAGCACUUUCAGCGGGGAGGCGUUACCCGCAGAAGAAGCACCGGCUAACUCCGUGCCAGCAGCCGCGGUAAUUC